CUGGACCCUGGGGGCAAAAGCUCUUAGCACAGAGCCUGGUGCUCAGAAGUGCCCCAUAAAUGUUGUCUGAAUGAAUGAAUAAAGGAAUGAAAUAAGGAAGGAACCAGCAUUUUUUUUUUAAUAGAGUCUCAGUCUCACUGUGUUGCCCAGGCUAGGGUGUAGUGGUAUGAUCAUAGCUCACUGCAACAUUUGCCUCAGAAAUCAAAAGGACUGAGAAGGCAAUGAAGACUCCAGUGCUUAGUAAACUGCAAGCUGCUGACCAGCUGCCAGGGGUUAUUCAUUCUCAGUGGCCUAAGGCCUCCUAAAAUGAAGGCUGUACCUCUGAGAGCUUUUUUUUGAGAUGGGGUCUUGCUAUGUUGCCCAGGCUGGUCUAGAACUCUUGGGCUGGGGACAUCCUCCCACCUUAGCCUCCCAAAGUGCUGGGAUUACAGGCAUGAGCCACUGUGCCAAGCCUCCAAUGUUAUCUCUUUUUCUUUUUUUUUCAGUUUGUCAGUGUAAACAACACUGCUUACUUUUGAACCCAUUCCACAAGAGGAAGCAGCCAGGGACGGGUGUCUGCACGCCUGUCCCUAUGGAGGCGGGGCUGGGGGGGGCC
rnacentral:lncRNA from 10 species